rnacentral:sRNA from 1 species
UUGGGUAAGGUAGUCACGUCUACCAUAUUCUGACUCUCCAUGAGUACAGAGGGUAUUUCCAUCUCCUACUGUCUCUUAUUAUAGUCACCUUAAACUCUUUUGAUUGAGUUUACCCUUAAUAUGUUUUUAAUUAUUGUGAAUGGGUUAUUCCCUUGAUUUCAGUCUCAGGGUGUUUGUCUGUCUAUAUUGGAAGCUGUGAGAUGUUGAUUUUGUAUCCUGCUGCUUUUGCUAAAGGAAGCUAGUGAACCUCAUUCCAGUCCACGGUUCAUAUAUUUCCAGCGUCUGGAACACUGUAUUGCUCUGACUCAGAGAUUCUUCCCUGCAGUCAAAGCCUUGGAUUUCAGAACUUCACAUAUCCCACAAACAAUUUAUUUCAAUGAAAUCAGGCCAUCCAUCCCCAAGUGUGGAAAUUAAAUACCCCAGUAUAUGAAGAAGGAUGUUGAGGAAAAGGUUGGAAGAAAUGAGGAGACUGAGCACGACAGAUGCUAGGAAACAGGGACCAUUGGCCCAAGUGCUGAGCUUCUGAGCACAUCUCCAGAAGGGACAAAGCGAUACCUGCCACCAUGCUUUAUGUUACAGGAGAAAGACACCUUAACCUUGGAUUUCUCAGGCUCCAUACUUGUAAUAAAUAGUUUUCUGUUCUUUACAAUCUAUUCAAUCUAUAUUAUUCUGCAAUCAGAGCAUAAACUGGACUCAGAAAUCUAUAAUGGUACAACUCAGAAAGCCACCCUAGAACCAUUUCUUAUUAGAUUUGAGAUCCAAGAGCAGAAAGAAUCGGGCUUCCUCCAGAGCUCCUGGAAGGAACACUUCUCCCAAUCCUCUGUAGCAUUACUCAUGAGGCCUGAUGACAGGAGAGUCACUAAUGCCACACACCUAGUGAAUCAGGCCAUCAGAGGGCUGAGACAUCCCCACCAUGGGCUUUCUGGAGCUGGAAUGUAUAAACAACACAGGUAUGGGGAGAAAAGACCUCACACCCACAAGGAACCGGAAGCAAAGGUGUAUGCUGAUGACCAGUGAUGCAAAGUCCACAGAGCCUCGGGUGUGACUGCGACAAUACUCAGGACUCUGAAAGGAUAUAGGCUAGAUUCCUACCUGCCAUCCCUGAGCCAUGAUGUGGAAGUGCAGGAGCUACCAAGGAUAAAGGACAAGAUGGAGGACCUAGGACUGAUUCAUCUGAAAUGACAGAUAAAACUGAGCAUUACACAUUAGAGAAAAAUUUUUGCCUUCAUGUUCAAAGAAAAUGUACCUACUUAUGUGUUUGUGUGUGCGUGUGUGAUAUGCAAUGUGUUUGGUUGAAAUAGAUCCAUGCCACGGUGCACAUGUGACGUUCAGAAGAAAACGUCAUGGACUUGAUGGUCACCUUCACUUUCGUGAAGGUUCGGGGCAUCAAACUAGAGUCACCAGGCUUGUGUAGCAGAACCUUUGCUCACCAAAGCAUCUGGCCAGCCUCAAAGAGAAUUUCUAAUGCAGAGUCUAUUGGCUUCUAAAAGUGAAAUAAAAUCCACAGAAGUGAGCUCUAUAACUGCUUUGCUUGGGAACUUGACAGUCAGCCUCCAGUCCAGGGGAUUC